UCAGGUAGAGAAUACCAAGGCGCUUGAGAGAACUCGGGUGAAGGAACUAGGCAAAAUGGUGCCGUAACUUCGGGAGAAGGCACGCUGAUAUGUAGGUGAAGUCCCUCGCGGAUGGAGCUGAAAUCAGUCGAAGAUACCAGCUGGCUGCAACUGUUUAUUAAAAACACAGCACUGUGCAAACACGAAAGUGGACGUAUACGGUGUGACGCCUGCCCGGUGCCGGAAGGUUAAUUGAUGGGGUCAGCGCAAGCGAAGCUCUUGAUCGAAGCCCCGGUAAACGGCGGCCGUAACUAUAACGGUCCUAAGGUAGCGAAAUUCCUUGUCGGGUAAGUUCCGACCUGCACGAAUGGCGUAAUGAUGGCCAGGCUGUCUCCACCCGAGACUCAGUGAAAUUGAACUCGCUGUGAAGAUGCAGUGUACCCGCGGCAAGACGGAAAGACCCCGUGAACCUUUACUAUAGCUUGACACUGAACAUUGAGCCUUGAUGUGUAGGAUAGGUGGGAGGCUUUGAAGUGUGGACGCCAGUCUGCAUGGAGCCGACCUUGAAAUACCACCCUUUAAUGUUUGAUGUUCUAACGUGGACCCGUGAUCCGGGUUGCGGACAGUGUCUGGUGGGUAGUUUGACUGGGGCGGUCUCCUCCUAAAGAGUAACGGAGGAGCACGAAGGUUGGCUAAUCCUGGUCGGACAUCAGGAGGUUAGUGCAAUGGCAUAAGCCAGCUUGACUGCGAGCGUGACGGCGCGAGCAGGUGCGAAAGCAGGUCAUAGUGAUCCGGUGGUUCUGAAUGGAAGGGCCAUCGCUCAACGGAUAAAAGGUACUCCGGGGAUAACAGGCUGAUACCGCCCAAGAGUUCAUAUCGACGGCGGUGUUUGGCACCUCGAUGUCGGCUCAUCACAUCCUGGGGCUGAAGUAGGUCCCAAGGGUAUGGCUGUUCGCCAUUUAAAGUGGUACGCGAGCUGGGUUUAGAACGUCGUGAGACAGUUCGGUCCCUAUCUGCCGUGGGCGCUGGAGAACUGAGGGGGGCUGCUCCUAGUACGAGAGGACCGGAGUGGACGCAUCACUGGUGUUCGGGUUGUCAUGCCAAUGGCACUGCCCGGUAGCUAAAUGCGGAAGAGAUAAGUGCUGAAAGCAUCUAAGCACGAAACUUGCCCCGAGAUGAGUUCUCCCUGACCCUUUAAGGGUCCUGAAGGAACGUUGAAGACGACGACGUUGAUAGGCCGGGUGUGUAAGCGCAGCGAUGCGUUGAGCUAACCGGUACUAAUGAACCGUGAGGCUUAACCUUACAACGCCGAAGGUGUUU
rnacentral:rRNA from 2 species